rnacentral:ribozyme from 1 species
CCGUUUUGUCAUCCUCUUGCUAUUUUGGACUGUAAAUUUGAUAUUUUUGUGGUGGGGAAGAGGGGAGAUGAGAAGAUGGAGGGGGGAGAGAGUGAAUUGGGAGAGAGGUUUGGAGUAAGAGUGAGGAUGGACU